GGGCGGGACACGUGAAAUCCUGUCUGAACAUGGGGGGACCACCCUCCAAGCCUAAGUACUCCUUACCGACCGAUAGUGAACAAGUACCGUGAGGGAAUGAUGAAAAGAACCCCGAUGAGGGGAGUGAAACAGAUCCUGAAACCGGAUGCCUACAAGCUGAUGGAGCUCUUCGGAGUGACAUCGUACCUUUUGUAUAAUGGGUCAGCGACUUAGUGUUGCGUGCAAGCUUAAGCCGUUAGGUGUAGGCACAGCGAAAGCGAGUCUUAAUAGGGCGAAUGAGUACGUAGCAUUAGACCCGAAGGCAAGUGAUCUAGAUAUGGGCAGGCUGAAGGUGCAGUAACAUGCACUGGAGGGCCGAACCGUUGAGCGUUGAAAAGCUCUCGGAUGACCUGUGUCUAGGGGUGAAAGGCCAAUCAAACUUGCUGAUAGCUGGUUCUCCGCGAAAUCUAUUUAGGUAGAGCGUCACGAUUAGACUCUGGGGGGUAGAGCACUGAAUGGGCUAGGGGUCCUCACCGGAUUACCAAACCUUCUCAAACUCCGAAUACCCAGAAGUUAUGCGUGGCAGACACACGGCGGGUGCUAACGUCCGUCGUGAAAAGGGAAACAACCCAGACCGCCAAUUAAGGCCCCUAAGUAAUAGCUAAGUGCGAAACGAUGUGGAGGUGCUGAGACAAUCAGGAGGUUGGCUUAGAAGCAGCCAUCCUUUAAAGAAAGCGUAACAGCUCACUGAUCAAGCGCCUCUGCGCGGAAAAUGUAUCGGGACUAAAGUUAUACGCCGAAAUUGCGGACUCAGUAAUGAGUGGUAGCGGAGCGUUCCGUAAGCCGAUGAAGGUGAACCGCGAGGUUUGCUGGAGGUAUCGGAAGUGAGAAUGCUGACAUGAGUAGCGACAAAGAGUGUGAGAAACACUCUCGCCGAAAGACCAAGGGUUCCUGCGCAAGGCUAAUCCGCGCAGGGUGAGUCGGCCCCUAAGCCGAGGGCGAAGGCCGUAGGCGAUGGGAAACGGGUUAAUAUUCCCGUACCUGUGGUGAGUGACGAAUGCUGUAAGUUGUAUCUCCUUAUCGGAUUGGUGGAUGCAGCGAAGGCGUUCCAGGAAAUAACUCCCACGUAUAGACCGUACCCCAAACCGACACAGGUGGUCAGGUAGAGGAUACCAAGGCGCUUGAGAGAACGAUGUUGAAGGAACUCGGCAAAAUGCACCCGUAACUUCGGGAUAAGGGUGACCUAUGCGAAGGCAACUUUGUAUAGGUGGCACAAAAUUGGGGGUGGCGACUGUUUACUAAAAACAUAGGGCUCUGCGAAGCCGCGAGGCGACGUAUAGGGUCUGACGCCUGCCCGGUGCUGGAAGGUUAAAAGGAGGGGUGAGAGCUCUGAAUUGAAGCCCCAGUAAACGGCGGCCGUAACUAUAACGGUCCUAAGGUAGCGAAAUUCCUUGUCGGGUAAGUUCCGACCUGCACGAAUGGUGCAACGAUCUGGGCACUGUCUCAGCCAUGAGCUCGGUGAAAUUGUAGUAUCGGUGAAGAUGCCGAUUACCCGCAACGGGACGGAAAGACCCCGUGCACCUUUACUAUAGCUUAACGUUGACAUUGGAUAAUUCAUGUGUAGGAUAGGUGGGAGACUAUGAAGUGGCAUCGCUAGGUGUUGCGGAGUCGUCCUUGAAAUACCACCCUUGAAUUAUUCGGUGCCUAACUCUUAAUAGAGAACAUCGUUUGGUGGGUAGUUUGACUGGGGUGGUCGCCUCCAAAAGAGUAACGGAGGCUUCUAAAGGUUCCCUCAGCACGCUUGGUAACCGUGCGUAGAGUGCAAUGGCAUAAGGGAGCUUGACUGAGAGACCUACAAGUCGAUCAGGUACGAAAGUAGAGCAUAGUGAUCCGGUGGUUCCGCAUGGAAGGGCCAUCGCUCAAAGGAUAAAAGGUACUCCGGGGAUAACAGGCUGAUCUCCCCCAAGAGCUCA
rnacentral:rRNA from 1 species